rnacentral:misc_RNA from 1 species
GAAAUGCGAUAAGUAAUGUGAAUUGCAGAAUUCAGUGAAUCAUCGAAUCUUUGAACGCACAUUGCGCCCGCCAGCACUCUGGCGGGCAUGCCUGUCCGAGCGUCAUUACACCCCUCGCCGGCCCCCAGGGACCGGCGGUGUUGGGGGCCGCGCGCAGCCCGCGCGCCCCUGAAAUGCAGUGGCGGCCCCGCCGUUCGCCUCCCCUGUGCAGUAGCGAUACCUCGCAGUGGGACAGCGGUCUGACCACGCCGUAAAACCCCCAACUUCUCAAGGUUGACCUCGAAUCAGGUAGGAAUACCCGCUGAACUUAAGC